rnacentral:rRNA from 1 species
GACGAACGCUGGCGGCGUGCUUAACACAUGCAAGUCGAACGAUGACGACCGAGCUUGCUCGGUCUGAUUAGUGGCGAACGGGUGAGUAACACGUGAGCAACCUGCCCUUCACUCUGGGAUAACCUCGGGAAAUCGGGGCUAAUACCGGAUAUGAGCUCCUGUCGCAUGGCGGGUGUUGGAAAGUUUUUCGGUGAAGGAUGGGCUCGCGGCCUAUCAGUUUGUUGGUGAGGUAGUGGCUCACCAAGGCGAUGACGGGUAGCCGGCCUGAGAGGGCGACCGGCCACACUGGGACUGAGACACGGCCCAGACUCCUACGGGAGGCAGCAGUGGGGAAUAUUGCACAAUGGGCGAAAGCCUGAUGCAGCGACGCCGCGUGAGGGAUGACGGCCUUCGGGUUGUAAACCUCUUUCAGCAGGGAAGAAGCGAAAGUGACGGUACCUGCAGAAGAAGCGCCGGUUAACUACGUG